UAAUAGAAGUCAUGUAAUCUGAAAAAUGUGUUAUCUAGAUUUGAGAAGUUUAUUAGUCUGAGGGCUAGUCUUCAUUGUCAACUCAAUUUCGAUUUAGAAUCACCAUGGAAACAAAUCUGGGUAUGUCUAUGAGGAUGUUUCUAGAAAGAUUUAACUUUGAUAUGGGCAACCCCAUUCCUUGGACUAAGGUCUUGGAUUGAAUGAAAAGGAGAAAACAGACUGAGUGCCUGCCCUCAUCGCUCUCUGCUUCCUGACUGUGGCUACAGUGUGACCAGCUGCCUCAAGUUCCUGCCGCCAUGUCCUCUCCACCAUCAUGUGCUGGACUCCAACAGGAGCCCCGAGAGACCCUUCCUUCCCGAAGCUUCUCCUUCCGGUGUUUCAUCACAGCAAGAGGAAAAGAAACCAGCAACUUGGCAAAGGCAAUUCUGCGUUUGACUCCGUGGCUGCGCGCUAAGGGUUCAGAGGACCUGGAUAUCUUCAUCCUACAUAUCCGACCGGGAUUUUUUUCUGUCCAAGAUCCAGGGGCGUCCGGGGACGGAAGCCUCUCGAUUAAUGAACGUUUGGGCUGCCUCUGCCAUUCAGCUUCCACUCCAGGAGGGGGAGGCAGCAUAGGCUCCACUGGGCUGAUUGUGCUGAAGCGCAAAUUUGAGCUACUGGCAGCUUUCUGCUCUUUCUCACAACACACUUUCAGCAGGAUGGGAGCUCCAAUGCUACGCAGAGGGAGCCUCACGCUAUUGGGCGGCAGUGUCUCCAUGCAGGCGGCAGGGUGUCCCCCAAAGCUGAAGGUGGUUGGGGGCUGGGAAAGGAGCCAGUAGAACACACGCCAGCCCGUACUUGCUAUUUCUUACAACUAUCUUUCCUUGCAGCUCUUGUGAAUAGCACUUUUAUUUCUUAAUCACUUUAUGUUGGUCACAUUUCUUAUCGCUUGGCUUCUCCUGACACACCUUACAAUGUUUGCAGGGCAGACAUAGCUUACGGCUAUAGAGAGGGAAACAGAGGCUCUGAGAAAUUACUAUUGGCAGGAUAACCAAGGUUCUUACACUUUCUGGAUUUUAAUAUAUUUCUUAGUUGUUCUGCUAGACCAUCGAUUCUCAGCCUGUGGGGCGCGACCCCUCGGGUCACAUGACCCUUUCACAGGGUCACCAAAGACUAUCAGAAAACACAGAUAGAUAUAUACCUUAGAAUUCACAACAGUCGCAAACUUGCAGUUACGAAGUAACAACAAAAAUAAUUUUAUGGUUAGGGGUCACCACAAACUGUAUUAAGGAGUCACAGCAUUAGAAAGGUUGAGAAACACUGUCCUAGCCUGUGACAUCACCUUCCACAUCACUGUGCAUCUGGGAAAAAGGGACAUAGAUCUUCCUGACAAAAGCUUGUAAAACGGGCACCUUUUGCAACUACUUUACAUAGACGUUGGAGGAAACUCACACCGCUGGCAAAAGUGUCCACACCAUUAAACAUGGUAUUUUAUAAAAGGCAUACAGUCACACCUUCAUGUAUAUCUGGACACCCCCCAAGAAUAGAAAAUAAUGGCUAUGUGUGCCAUGUGAAUAUGGCACCGAGUCACCAGAUAAAGGUCAUGGCAACUUAAAAGGCAGAAAUCAUUGAAACUAUAUCACUCUUCAAAAUACAACAAGAAUAAAGUUAGCAAAAUAGAAUCCCCCCAAUUGAUAUACAAUUGGAAAUCUAAAGAUGCAUUAAAUCUGGGUUAAACUGUCUGGAGUGGUGGCACAUACUGUAAUUCCAGCAUUGGAAGGUAGAGGCAGGGCAGUUAGGAGUUCAAGUUCAUCUCCAAUACAUAGCAAGGUCUAGGCCAGCCGGGGCUAAAUGAGAUACAACUGAAAAAAAAAAUCAAAUUAAUAAUAAUAACAGAUUAAACCUAGAUCAAAUACAAAUGGAGAAGUUCCAAACUCUUAAGUUUACGAUUUUAGUUCAAAUUGAAAAGGUACAGUGUGCAGUUUGAUAUAUGUGUGCAGUUUGCAAAGAUCAAAUCAUUAUAGUUAACAUUCUAUCUCUGUAACUUAAAGAUCUUUUAUUAGCAUGUAAUAAUUGUAAAUAUUUAUGGGGUACAGUGUAAUCAGAAAUAGUAAGUCUUAGGACUGGAGAGGUGGACUGUAAAGUACUUGCUAUGCAAGCCUGGGGACCUGAGUUCACAUCUCCACCACCCAUGUUUUAAAAAAAUGGACCUUGCAGUACACCUGUAAUGCCAAGGCUUGGAGACAGAUACUGGAGGGUGGGGGACAGGGUACUUGGUAGCCAAAUAGUCUAGCUGAAUCGAUGAUCUCCAGGUCCAGUGAGGGACUCUGUCUCAAAAAUAAUGUGGAAAGCAGUAGAAAAAAAAUGCCAGAAUUCAAACUCUGGCUCCCCAUACAUGUGUACACAUGUGCACACACAUACAUACCAAACACACAUGGGGGGCAUUUGUAAGGAAAGAUGGCACAUAAACGUCAGGUGAGGCCAUUAAACUUCCAACCUUCAGCUGCUGUUUUUUUGCCCAUGAAAAGCUUUGACCCUGAUGUUAGUUCCUGGAACUUGUGAGUUUAUCAAUUGCUAACACUGUAGCUUAUGCAUUGGAACAGGGAAUUUGAGGAGCCAGGAAAAACUGUCUAGAACAUAACAGUUUAAAACUUCACAGUUUAAAAAUUCACACCCUCUAAUGCCAUUCUGCCCCUGACCCACAUAAAACUGAAAUUAUAAACAAAACAAAGUAAGAUAAAGUAUUUACUGAUAAAGCAAUUAGUUAUGUCAACUGAACCUUAUUUUUUUUUUGGCAGACUCCCACUAUGUAACCCUGGCUGGCCUUGAACUCACAGAAAUAUGCCUGUCUGCAGUUGCAUCCUGAGUGCUGGGAUUAAAGGUGUGUACUACCACACUCAGCCUUCAUUUUUGUUGUUUUUAAUUAUGUUUAUUGACUUACAUGGGAGGGGUUGGGGUGCCCACCUUGCACACUGUGUAUGUAUUUGGAGGUGGUUAUCAGGCUUGGCAUCAAGACUUUUACACACUCAGCCAUCUCUUGCUGGACUGUAACUAACUAUUUUGUGACAGCCCUUUCAUUGUCUUAUAAAGUAGCUGUUGCAUAAUAACUAGAGAAUAUAGGCCACUGUAGCAGAAAACCUUAAAAAGUCACACACACACACACACACACA
rnacentral:lncRNA from 1 species